rnacentral:rRNA from 1 species
ACGGAAGGCAGCAGUGGGGAAUAUUGCGCAAUGGGGGAAACCCUGACGCAGCAACGCCGCGUGAAGGAUGAAGGUUUUCGGAUUGUAAACUUCUUUGACUGGGGACGAAAUUUGACGGUACCCAGAAAACAAGUCACGGCUAACUACGUGCCAGCAGCCGCGGUAAUACGUAGGUGACAAGCGUUAUCCGGAUUUACUGGGUGUAAAGGGCGUGUAGGCGGGUUUGCAAGUCAGAUGUGAAAUCCCGGGGCUCAACUCCGGAACUGCAUCUGAAACUGUAGAUCUUGAGUAUCGGAGAGGAAAGUGGAAUUCCCAGUGUAGCGGUGAAAUGCGUAGAGAUUGGGAGGAACACCAGUGGCGAAGGCGGCUUGCUGGACGACAACUGACGCUGAGGCGCGAAAGCGUGGGGAGCAAACAGGAUUAGAUACCCUGGUA